rnacentral:rRNA from 1 species
GAUGAACGCUAGCGGCAGGCCUAAUACAUGCAAGUCGGACGGGAUUGAGAAGCUUGCUUUUCAUGAGAGUGGCGCACGGGUGCGUAACACGUAUGUAACCUACCUUAAUCAGGGGGAUAGCCUCUCGAAAGAGAGAUUAACACCGCAUAACAUGAUGAGAUAGCAUUAUUUUAUCAUCAAAUAUUUAUAGGAUUAAGAUGGGCAUGCGGGACAUUAGCUAGUUGGCGGGGUAACGGCCCACCAAGGCGACGAUGUCUAGGGGAUCUGAGAGGAAGGCCCCCCGCACCGGUACGGAGACGCGGGCCAGAAUCCUACGGGAGGCAGCGGUAAGGAAUAUUGGUCAAUGGGCGAAAGCGUGAACCAGCCAUGCCGCGUGCAGGAAGACGGCCCUACGGGUGGUAAACUGCUUUUGUACCGGAAUAAACCUUUCUACGUGUAGAGAGCUGAAGGUACGGUAAGAAUAAGGAUCGGCUAACUCCGUGCCAGCAGCCGCCGUAA